rnacentral:rRNA from 1 species
UCAUAUGCUUGUCUCAAAGAUUAAGCCAUGCAUGUGUAAGUACAAGCCGAGUUAAGGCGAAACCGCGAAUGGCUCAUUAAAUCAGCUAUGUUUCAUUGGACCUGUAAACCCACUUACUUGGAUAACUGUGGUAAUUCUAUAGCUAAUACAUGCUGCUACACGUCUCUGACCUCAAGGGAAGAGCGCUUUUAUUAGUUCAAAACUGGUCGGGCCUCGGUCCGUUAACCCACAUGUGGUGAAUCUGAAUAACUUUUCGCUGAGCGCACGGUCUCCGCACCGGCGCCGCGUCUUUCAAGUGUCUGCCUUAUCAGCUUUCGAUUGUAAGUUAUUCGCCUACAAUGGCUAUUACAGGUAACGGGGAAUCAGGGUUCGAUUCCGGAGAGGGAGCCUGAGAAACGGCUACCACAUCUAAGGAAGGCAGCAGGCACGCAAAUUACCCACUCCCGGCUCGGGGAGGUAGUGACGAAAAAUAACGAUGCGAGACUCAUCCGAGGCCUCGCAAUCGGAAUGAGUACACUUUAAAUCCUUUAACGAUGAUCCAUUGGAGGGCAAGUCUGGUGCCAGCAGCCGCGGUAAUUCCAGCUCCAAUAGCGUAUACUAAAGUUGCUGCGAUUAAAAAGCUCGUAGUUGGACCUGAGUUCCGGACUGACGGUUGCUGUUCACCGCGAGGUGAUUACGGUCACGCUCCGGACAGGUCGAUUGAUUGAUUUUUGCCCAGCCGGCUUGCACGGGGUGCUCUUCGCCGAGUGUCCCGAGUGGCCGGCACGUUUACUUUGAAAAAAUUAGAGUGCUCAGAGCAGGCUACAUGAAUCGCCUGAAUGUCUAUGCAUGGAAUAAUGUAAGAGGACCUCGGUUCUAUUUGGUUUGGUUUCUGGAACCUGAGGUAAUGACUAAUCGGGACGGGCGGGGGCAUUCGUAUUGCGACGCUAGA